UUGGAUCCAGACUUUGAUUCUGGCUCAGGAUGAACGCUAGCUACAGGCUUAACACAUGCAAGUCGAGGGGAAACGACAUCGAAAGCUUGCUUUUGAUGGGCGUCGACCGGCGCACGGGUGAGUAACGCGUAUCCAACCUGCCCAUCACUUGGGGAUAACCUUGCGAAAGUAAGACUAAUACCCAAUGAUAUCCCACGAAGGCAUCUGAAUGGGAUUAAAGAUUUAUCGGUGAUGGAUGGGGAUGCGUCUGAUUAGCUUGUUGGCGGGGUAACGGCCCACCAAGGCAACGAUCAGUAGGGGUUCUGAGAGGAAGGUCCCCCACAUUGGAACUGAGACACGGUCCAAACUCCUACGGGAGGCAGCAGUGAGGAAUAUUGGUCAAUGGGCGAGAGCCUGAACCAGCCAAGUAGCGUGCAGGAUGACGGCCCUAUGGGUCGUAAACUGCUUUUAUAAGGGAAUAAAGUGAGUCUCGUGAGACUUUUUGCAUGUACCUUAUGAAUUAGGACCGGCUAAUUCCGUGCCAGCAGCCGCGGUAAUACGGAAGGUCCGGGCGUUAUCCGGAUUUAUUGGGUUUAAAGGGAGCGUAGGCCGGAGAUUAAGCGUGUUGUGAAAUGUAGUGGCUCAACCUCUGCACUGCAGCGCGAACUGGUCUUCUUGAGUACGCACAACGUGGGCGGAAUUCGUGGUGUAGCGGUGAAAUGCUUAGAUAUCACGAAGAACUCCGAUUGCGAAGGCAGCUCACGGGAGCGCAACUGACGCUGAAGCUCGAAAGUGCGGGUAUCGAACAGGAUUAGAUACCCUGGUAGUCCGCACGGUAAACGAUGGAUGCCCGCUGUUGGCCUGAAUAGGUCAGCGGCCAAGCGAAAGCAUUAAGCAUCCCACCUGGGGAGUACGCCGGCAACGGUGCAACUCAAAUGAAUUGACGGA
rnacentral:rRNA from 2 species